GUCCUAGCCGUAAACGAUGCACAUUAGACGUGAGGGGUAUCGACCCCCUUCGUGUCGACGCUAACGCAUUAAAUGUGCCGCCUGGGGAGUACGGCCGCAAGGUUGAAACUCAAAGGAAUUGACGGGGGCCCGCACAAGAGGUGGAGCAUGUGGUUUAAUUCGACGCAACGCGAACAACCUUACCUGGGCUUGAACUGUUGGUAGUAGAACUGAUGAAAGUCGGAAACGACCCGUAAAGCCGGAUGCCAAUAGAGGUGCUGCAUGGCUGUCGU
rnacentral:rRNA from 1 species